rnacentral:rRNA from 1 species
UACGUAGGGCGCAAGCGUUAUCCGGAAUUAUUGGGCGUAAAGAGCUCGUAGGCGGUUUGUCGCGUCUGCCGUGAAAGUCCGGGGCCUCAACUCCGGAGUCUGCAGUGGGUACGGGCAGACUAGAGUGCGGUAGGGGAGACUGGAAUUCCUGGUGUAGCGGUGAAAUGCGCAGAUAUCGAGGAGGAACACCGGUGGCGAAGGCGGGUCUCUGGGCCGUAACUGACGCUGAGGAGCGGAAAGCAUGGGGAGCGAACAGG